rnacentral:rRNA from 1 species
CCCGCUGAACUUAAGCAUAUCAAUAAGCGGAGGAAAAGAAACUAACAAGGAUUCCCCUAGUAACUGCGAGUGAAGCGGGAAAAGCUCAAAUUUAAAAUCUGGUGGUCUUUCGGCCGCUCGAGUUGUAAUCUAGAGAAGUGCUUUCCGCGCUGGACCGUGUACAAGUCUCUUGGAAUGGAGCGUCGGAGAGGGUGACGAUUCCGUCUUUGACACGGACUGCCAGGGCUUAUGUGAUGCGCUCUCGAAGAGUCGAGUUGUUUGGGAAUGCAGCUCAAAAUGGGUGGUAAAUUCCCUCUAAAGCUAAAUAUGGGCGAGAGACCGAUAGCGAACAAAUACCGUGAGGGAAAGAUGAAAAGAACUUUGAAAAGAGAGUUAAACAGUACGUGAAAUUGUUGAAAGGGAAACGAUUCAAGUCAGUCGCGUCGGCCGGCAAUCAACCUUUGCGACUCUUCUGUUGCUGGCCUUACUUUCUGGUCGACGGGUCAUCGUCAAUUUUGACCGUCGGACAAAGCAGAGGGGAAUGUGGCAUCCUUGGAUGUGUUAUAGCCUCGCGUCGCAUGCGACGGUUGGGAUUGAGGAACUCGUCACGCCGCAAGAUCGGGGCUGUCAUGCUCACGUAAACGUGCCUAGGAUGCUGGCAUAAUGGCUUGAACCGACCCGUCUUGAAACACGG